AGUGAACGCUGGCGGUAGGCCUAACACAUGCAAGUCGAACGGCAGCACAGUAAGAGCUUGCUCUUACGGGUGGCGAGUGGCGGACGGGUGAGGAAUACAUCGGAAUCUACUUUUUCGUGGGGGAUAACGUAGGGAAACUUACGCUAAUACCGCAUACGACCUACGGGUGAAAGCAGGGGAUCUUCGGACCUUGCGCGAUUGAAUGAGCCGAUGUCGGAUUAGCUAGCUGGCGGGGUAAAGGCCCACCAAGGCGACGAUCCGUAGCUGGUUUGAGAGGAUGAUCAGCCACACUGGAACUGAGACACGGUCCAGACUCCUACGGGAGGCAGCAGUGGGGAAUAUUGGACAAUGGGCGCAAGCCUGAUCCAGCCAUACCGCGUGGGUGAAGAAGGCCUUCGGGUUGUAAAGCCCUUUUGUUGGGAAAGAAAAGCAGCAGGUUAAUACCCCGCUGUUCUGACGGUACCCAAAGAAUAAGCACCGGCUAACUUCGUG
rnacentral:rRNA from 1 species